rnacentral:lncRNA from 1 species
GGUAUCACCGAGUAUGUGUUUUGGCACGAGCCAAAGUUUUAAGAAAUUCAUAAGCCAAGUUGAUUACUCGAUUUUUAUGGAUUGAUUUUAUUUGGUUGAAAUAAGUUGAAAGGUAAUGAAAUCACAAUAUGAUGAUUUAUUUUAAUUGUCUCCAUUUACUCGACUUUAGAUAGUUUAGAUGGUAUCUGUUUACUCACUGG